CAGUAGCCGCGGUAAUACGAAGGGUGCAAGCGUUAAUCGGAAUUACUGGGCGUAAAGCGUGCGUAGGCGGUGAGUUAAGUCUGCUGUGAAAUCCCCGGGCUCAACCUGGGAAUGGCAGUGGAUACUGGCUCGCUAGAGUGUGUCAGAGGAUGGUGGAAUUCCCGGUGUAGCGGUGAAAUGCGUAGAGAUCGGGAGGAACAUCAGUGGCGAAGGCGGCCAUCUGGGACAACACUGACGCUGAGGCACGAGAGCGUGGGGAGCAAACAGGAUUAGAUACCCGAGUAGUCCCUGUCUCUUAUAC
rnacentral:rRNA from 1 species